rnacentral:rRNA from 1 species
UAGGGAAUCUUCCGCAAUGGGCGAAAGCCUGACGGAGCAACGCCGCGUGAGUGAUGAAGGUCUUCGGAUCGUAAAACUCUGUUAUUAGGGAAGAACAAAUGUGUAAGUAACUAUGCACGUCUUGACGGUACCUAAUCAGAAAGCCACGGCUAACUACGUGCCAGCAGCCGCGGUAAUACGUAGGUGGCAAGCGUUAUCCGGAAUUAGUGGGCGUAAAGCGCGCGUAGGCGGUUUUUUAAGUCUGAUGUGAAAGCCCACGGCUCAACCGUGGAGGGUCAUUGGAAACUGGAAAACUUGAGUGCAGAAGAGGAAAGGGGAAUUCCAUGUGUAGCGGUGAAAUGCGCGGAGAUAUGGAGGAACACCAGUGGCGAAGGCGACUUUCUGGUCUGUAACUGACGCUGAUGUGCGAAAGCGUGGGGAUCAAACAGG